AUUGAACGCUGGCGGCAGGCCUAACACAUGCAAGUCGAGCGGAUGAAGGGAGCUUGCUCCUGGAUUCAGCGGCGGACGGGUGAGUAAUGCCUAGGAAUCUGCCUGGUAGUGGGGGAUAACGUCCGGAAACGGGCGCUAAUACCGCAUACGUCCUGAGGGAGAAGUGGGGGAUCUUCGGACCUCACGCUCUCAGAUGAGCCUAGGUCGGAUUAGCUAGUUGGUGGGGUAAAGGCCUACCAAGGCGACGAUCCGUAACUGGUCUGAGAGGAUGACCAGUCACACUGGAACUGAGACACGGUCCAGACUCCUACGGGAGGCAGCAGUGGGGAAUAUUGGACAAUGGGCGAAAGCCUGAUCCAGCCAUGCCGCGUGUGUGAAGAAGGUCUUCGGAUUGUAAAGCACUUUAAGUUGGGAGGAAGGGCAGUAAGUUAAUACCUUGCUGUUUUGACGUUACCAACAGAAUGAGCACCGGCUAACUUCGUG
rnacentral:rRNA from 1 species